AGAGUUUGAUCAUGGCUCAGAUUGAACGCUGGCGGCAGGCCUAACACAUGCAAGUCGAACGGUAACAGGAUGUGCUUGCACAUCGCUGACGAGUGGCGGACGGGUGAGUAAUGCUUGGGAACUUGCCUUUGCGAGGGGGAUAACAGUUGGAAACGACUGCUAAUACCGCAUAAUGUCUUCGGACCAAACGGGGCUUAGGCUCCGGCGCAAAGAGAGGCCCAAGUGAGAUUAGCUAGUUGGUAAGGUAACGGCUUACCAAGGCGACGAUCUCUAGCUGUUCUGAGAGGAAGAUCAGCCACACUGGGACUGAGACACGGCCCAGACUCCUACGGGAGGCAGCAGUGGGGAAUAUUGCACAAUGGGGGAAACCCUGAUGCAGCCAUGCCGCGUGUGUGAAGAAGGCCUUCGGGUUGUAAAGCACUUUCAGUUGUGAGGAAAAGUUGGUAGUUAAUACCUGCUAGCCGUGACGUUAACAACAGAAGAAGCACCGGCUAACUCCGUGCCAGCAGCCGCGGUAAUACGGAGGGUGCGAGCGUUAAUCGGAAUUACUGGGCGUAAAGCGCACGCAGGCGGUUUGUUAAGCUAGAUGUGAAAGCCCCGGGCUCAACCUGGGAUGGUCAUUUAGAACUGGCAGACUAGAGUCUUGGAGA
rnacentral:rRNA from 1 species